rnacentral:rRNA from 1 species
GAUGAACGCUAGCGGCAGGCCUAAUACAUGCAAGUCGAGGGGUAUCCCGCUUUCGGGCGGGAGAGACCGGCGCACGGGUGCGUAACGCGUAUGCAACCUACCCAUAUCUGGGGGAUAGCCCGGAGAAAUCCGGAUUAACACCGCAUAAAAUCACAGUACGGCAUCGUACAAUGAUCAAAUAUUGAUAGGAUAUGGAUGGGCAUGCGUGUCAUUAGCUGGUUGGCGGGGUAACGGCCCACCAAGGCGACGAUGACUAGGGGAUCUGAGAGGAUGGCCCCCCACACUGGUACUGAGACACGGACCAGACUCCUACGGGAGGCAGCAGUAAGGAAUAUUGGUCAAUGGGCGGAAGCCUGAACCAGCCAAGUAGCGUGCAGGAUGACGGCCCUAUGGGUUGUAAACUGCUUUUAUACAGGAAUAAAGUUAGCCACGUGUGGUUAUUUGUAGGUACUGUAUGAAUAAGGACCGGCUAAUUCCGUGCCAGCAGCCGCAGUAA